rnacentral:rRNA from 1 species
GACGUAGGGCGCGAGCGUUGUCCGGAUUUAUUGGGCGUAAAGAGCUCGUAGGCGGCUCGUUGCGUCAACCGUGAAAACCCGGGGCUUAACUUCGGGCUUGCGGUUGAUACGGGCGGGCUGGAGUUCGGUAGGGGAGACUGGAAUUCCUGGUGUAGCGGUGAAAUGCGCAGAUAUCAGGAGGAACACCGGUGGCGAAGGCGGCAUCCUGGACCAACACUGACACUGAGGAGCGAAAGCCAGGGGAGCAAACGGG